GAUGAAGAACGUAGCGAAAUGCGAUAAGUAAUGUGAAUUGCAGAAUUCAGUGAAUCAUCGAAUCUUUGAACGCACAUUGCGCCCGCCAGUAUUCUGGCGGGCAUGCCUGUUCGAGCGUCAUUUCAACCAUCAAGCCCUGCUUGCGUUGGGGUCCUGCGGCUGCCCGCAGGCCCUGAAAACCAGUGGCGGGCUCGCUAGUCACACCGAGCGCAGUAAUACAUCUCGCUUUGGGCGUGCGGCGGGUUCUUGCAGUUAAACACCCCCUUUUUACCAAGGUUGACCUCGGAUCAGGUAGGAAUACCCGCUGAACUUAAGCAUAUCAAUAAGCGGAGGA
rnacentral:misc_RNA from 1 species